ensembl:snRNA U6 U6 spliceosomal RNA
GGACUUGUUCCGGCAGUACAUGUGCAAAAAUUUGGAAUGAUAAAGCGAAGAUUAGCAUGACCCCGUAUGCAAGGAUGACACGCAAAAUCGUGGAGCGUUACAUAUAUAU